CUUAGAAGCAGCCAUCAUUUAAAGAAAGCGUAACAGCUCACUGGUCUAAAUAAGGGUCUUUGCGCCUAAAAUGUAACGGGGCUAAAGCCAUACACCGAAGCUUUGGGUGCAUAGCAAUAUGCGCGGUAGCGGAGCGUUCUGUAGGCCUGUGAAGGGAGACCCGUGAGGGCUCCUGGAGGUAUCAGAAGUGCGAAUGCUGACAUGAGUAACGUAAGGAGUGUGAGAGACACUCCCGCCGAAAGACCAAGGGUUCCUGCUUAAAGUUAAUCUGAGCAGGGUUAGCCGGACCCUAAGGCGAGGCCGAAAGGCGUAGUCGAUGGGAAUCACGUUAAUAUUCGUGAGCCUGCAGGUAGUGACGGAUCAUCAAGGUAGUUCAUUCUUAUUGGAUUGAAUGGGCUGCUGCGUGGUUCCAGGAAAUAGCUCCUGCUUAUAGUCCGUACCCGAAACCGACACUGGUGGUCUGGUAGAGUAUACCAAGGCGCUUGAGAGAACUAUGCUGAAGGAACUCGGCAAAUUGCACGCGUAACUUCGGAAGAAGCGUGACCCCUUAGUACGCAAGUAUUGGGGGGUGGCACAGACCAGGGGGUAGCGACUGUUUAUCAAAAACACAGGGCUCUGCGAAGCCGCAAGGCGACGUAUAGGGUCUGACGCCUGCCCGGUGCUGGAAGGUUAAGAGGAGAGGUGCAAGCUUUGAAUCGAAGCCCC
rnacentral:rRNA from 1 species